rnacentral:rRNA from 1 species
UACGUAGGGGGCGAGCGUUGUCCGAAGUUACUGGGCGUAAAGCGCGCGUAGGCGGUUUCUUAAGUCUGGUGUGAAAGGUUCAGGGCUCAACCCGAACAGUGCACUGGAUACUGGGAGACUUGAGUAUGGGAGAGGAGAGCGGAAUUCCUGGUGUAGCGGUGAAAUGCGUAGAUAUCAGGAGGAACACCGAUGGCGAAGGCAGCUCUCUGGCCUGUAACUGACGCUGGAGGCGCGGAAAGCUAGGGGAGCAAACGGG